rnacentral:rRNA from 1 species
GAUGAACGCUAGCUACAGGCUUAACACAUGCAAGUCGAGGGGCAGCAUUUUAGUUUGCUUGCAAACUGAAGAUGGCGACCGGCGCACGGGUGAGUAACACGUAUCCAACCUGCCGAUAACUCCGGAAUAGCCUUUCGAAAGAAAGAUUAAUACCGGAUGGCAUCAUGAGUCCGCAUGUUCACAUGAUUAAAGGUAUUCCGGUAGACGAUGGGGAUGCGUUCCAUUAGAUAGUAGGCGGGGUAACGGCCACCUAGUCUUCGAUGGAUAGGGGUUCUGAGAGGAAGGUCCCCCACAUUGGAACUGAGACACGGGUCCAAACUCCUACGGGAGGCAGCAGUGAGGAAUAUUGGUCAAUGGGCGAGAGGCCUGGAACCAGCCAAGU